AAAAACUGAUUUUUUGGCCAUUUUGGGACUGUGUAAUCGAUUACCCUAAUCAGGGUAACCGAUUACACCUGCGCAGACAUCAGAAAUAGCUCUGUUUUUUACACAAAGGACCCUUUGGUUCACCCACUUCAACCCCUUUGCUUCCCCUAUAAAUAGAGCACUAUCCUCACUCAUUUUUCAAGCUUGAAAGCCACAAAACCUCUGUCCAAAUCACAUUCAAAC
rnacentral:lncRNA from 1 species